rnacentral:misc_RNA from 1 species
ACGGUACGAGGACAUUUCAGUUUUAGGGCAAAGACCUUCGGAAGAAUGAAUCUGCUAGCCACUUGAAAGCUACACAAUCAUGGAUUCAAGAGGUAAAGAAACUGGUGGCCUAGGAUGGUUAAUGAAUGUAUUUCAAUCGGUCUGGAAAGUAGUUUGUGUUUCUUCAUGAGAUUCUAAUCAUAUUUAAUUUGAUUUAAGUUUGGCGUUUCAAGCCCUUGUCUUUGUCUAUUAAUAUACUAUAUUUGAUUGAUCAUCGAAUACAAGAA